rnacentral:lncRNA from 1 species
CAUGGCUUCAUUUAUUUAGUCUGGAAUGUUCUUUGACUCAAUUCUUGUGUCCUCCUCUUCUCUGGCACACACAGAAGAGUGGGGCUCUUGGGGGAUUUCCAUCUCCUCCAUGCAAGAAUUUUGCUUCUGACACGUAUGAGGAGUAGGAACAGAACUGUGGCAAUAAAUAAAUAUCAAUGUGAUUAAAAACAAAUGUAUGAAGAAUUAUUAAUGGCGCACUUGAGAGAAUGGACGAGUGCUAUGCCAGAAAUACCACCAGGAACUGAGUGAAUGUGAAGGGCUGCACAGCCUGCAAAGGCAGCAAAAGGUGGCAAAAGUGAUUUGCUAUGCAUGCAAAAAGCAAUAUUUGAGUUCGCAGAUGAAUAUUUCCUGUUUAAUUAGUAGUCUUGCUCUGAACUAGGAAGACAGACCAGACUCAGGACUGUGCACAUAACAUACCUCUGACAGCUGGAACUGCCUUGGCCUUCUUUUCUUUUCAUCAUUUCCAUUCCCCCCACAAACACCAUGCCUCCUAUGCCAGCAGCUCUUGGAGAAGUUUGGACAACCUGCAGUUCUUCUCUUCUUGCUUUGAAGGCAUUACUGAAAAGACAGAUGGAAUGUCUGGAAGUCCAGAAAAACUGCCUUUUAUUCGGGGAUUUCCUAGCGUUGACACCAGUGACUCCUAAACAUCACCGUUAAAGGAUCUCUUUAUCAGCCCUCUCCCACAGGCUUCUAAAGGAGAAAGUCAUACAAGCAACAGGGAAGAGCUCUAAC